GUGUUGUAUGAAAGGAGAGAAGGUUAGCACUCCGUUGACAGGGAUGGAAGAGGCACUUGGGCCUAACAACACGCAUAUGGUUAAGGCUUUCCCACCUACUUCCUGGCAUCUAACCACUGUUUUUU
ensembl:snRNA U6atac minor spliceosomal RNA